AAACCAAAAAAAAAAAAAAGAAAGAAAGAAAAGAAAAGGAAAAAAAAUUAUAGAAAGUGUUGAGCUAUUGUGUGGGGGCUGUUAAUUGAACCUGGGUCCUCCAGAAGAGCAACCAGUGCUCUUUACUGUUGUCAUCUCUCCUGGUCCCUAUAUCCUCAUAACAACCACAAUAUUGUCUAUAUAUGAAACCAUUCAUUCAGGAUUGAUUUUUUUUUUAAGGGGGUUAAAGCAGGGUGUUGUGUAGCACAAUCUGGCUCUCAACUCUCAAAAUGUGAGCAAAGGUGACCUUAGAUUCCUGAUCUUCCAGCUUCCAUCUCCCAAGUGUUAGGAUUACAGGCAGGCUUGGGCCACCACACCCCGUUUAUGCAGUGGUGGGGAUCUAGACCUCAGGCUACAAUGAUAAAUUUGAGGUAAGCCUGGGUUACACGAAACGCUAUCUCAAAAAGGAAGGAGUUUUGUUUUGUUUAUAAAUUUUCAUCUUUUUCUGUCCACUCAAGAAGCUUAGAGGCUGGUUGGAAACAUCCACAGUAGCACUUGAGCACACACACAUACAAUGUGAGAAGUGAGAGGACAUCUUUUGAAGAUACAGAAAUUUGAGGGAAAUGCCCAUAAUAAUUUUAGAACUCUAUAAAAUCCUCUCAGACAUGGUGCUAUUCUCACACAUCACACAAAGGGAUAAGUCACUGAACAACCCACAGGUUAAAUAUGAAUUCUCUUUGUUUUGGAGGAAAUCACUAAGGGAUUGAGGUGAAGAUGACAAGGAGACAAGAAACUCUAAGACUUUAUACAAAUAGAUUCUUUGGAGGAGUUGAAAUAGAUAAAGAACUCCAAAUCCAGCUUUGCAAGAAGGCAACACAAGGCUACUUCUGGAUCUGCUGGAGCUGGAGGGCAAAGAGUGGCCAGAUGACAUGUAGCCACAGACAUGUAGACCACAGAAGAAAUAUCACCACAGGAGAGUUAAAGGUGAUAGAUUGAAGCUGGGUGGCAGGGCACAAGCCUGUAAUUCCAGCUCUUGGGAGAUGGAGGCAAGAAGACCAAGUUCAGCCAGCCUCAGCUAUAUGAGGGAGGCCCAGUCUAAAACACAGACACACACACACACACACACACACACACGGGGUGGGGAGGAGAGGACAAGUAUUGUGGUACAUACCUAUCAUCCCAGCACUGGGUGGGGGUGGGGCAGGGGUACUGAAGCAGAAGUAUUACUACAAAUUCAAGACCACUUUGAUUUAUAUAUCAAGUUCCAGACCAGCCAGGGCUGCAUAAGCAAGACUUUAUCCCAACCGUGCCCCCACAAAGUGUAUUAAAUAUAUAAAACUUCAAGGUGGGGUGGCUCGAGAGAUGUGAGCUAGAUUGUGAGCAUUUGCUGCUCUUGCAGAGGAUCCGGGUUCCAUCUUUGAGCACCCACAUGGCAGCUCAUAAGCAUAUGAAACUCCAGUCCUCAAAUCCUUCCCUGGCUAGCAAGGCCCACUCCAGUGAUGUUCCUGUCUCAACCUCUCCCAGUGCUGGGGUUACAGGUGCAGCCACACAGUGGCGUGGAUUUGCACUCAAGCCCUUGGUGUUUUCACAGUAAGGACUCUUAGCCCACUGAGCCACCCCUCGAGCCCAGAGGUCAUUGACAAGGGGCUGCUGCUGCUGCUACUACUACUACUACUGGAUUAACUAUGAGACUGGCUUUUUCUAUGGUUGAUUUGGUUUUCUCUGGCUUGUCUUUAAAUGGGCGUGUCAGUAAAAUAUAAGGAUGCUAACUCACUGACCAAGUCCUGACCAUGCUGGCUGACUGCUGCAGAGCUUGCGAAUCAGAGUUCUACCCUCAUACAUGGUCUGGGUCGUUGUCUGCUGUAAACUCAGACUCUCCUAGGAAAGGAGAUCAAACCACUGAUGGUCCAAAAGCCAGAAAACAGAAGGAUAAUGAGAACCAAUUUAGCUAACUUGUCCUCUAUAAAGGGGACAGGCACGAGCAAGUUUGAGAGCUGGGAAUGGUGGCACCAGCCUUCAAAACCAGCAUGUAGAAGACUGAGGCAGGAGGAUCAAAAAGUUCCAGACUAGCCAGAAAUGAGACUCUGUUUCGAAACAAAAUAAAAACAAAAUUCAGCCAGCCUGUGGUAACACACACCUUUUAUCUCGGCACUCUGGAAGCAGAGGCAGGUGGAUCUCUGAGUUCGUGGCCAGGCUGGUCCACACAACAAGUUCCAGUACAGCCAGGGCCACACAGCAAAACUGUGUUUAAGUAGAAACUUCUAGUUCUUAGAAAAGUUAUUUAUGCCAAAUGAUGCUUUGCUGGGGCACACAGUUGAAAGGAUGUCUUGCUAAAGCCAACACCUGAAAGACUGUUUUUCUGAAGCAGACACAGGUGAAAGGAUGAUUGGCUAUAGCAGACACGUGAAAGAACUCUUGAUGAAGGAGAAUAAAUAUGACCCCACAGACAGUGGGAGAUGGGCACUGAGCUUCGGUUUGGUUUGCUCUGCCUUACCAUUCUUCGCUAAAGGCACGCACGCAUGUAUUGGUUCGCCUUACAUAGCAUUGUUGAGCUCAACAUGUUAUAAUACUGCUGUUGAGAGAGACACUCCCAAGAACUGCUCAUGAAGUUCCUGCGGCAACUUGCCACUUCUGUGGCCUCACCUCGGGUGGUUGGAGAUCCUGGUGGUUUCUUCAGGAUUGAACUGCAGCUGCCUGGUGUCUGUUUGCUGAAAGGACUGGACUGGACUGAAAGGACUGGACUGGACUGUAGCGGCUGGUUCAUGUGUGCUGUCUGCCUGCCUGCCUAGAGGACUGGUCUGCAGCUGCAAAGUUGUGUUUGGUGUUUGCUACAGGACUGAACUGCUGCGUAAGAAGAUGGAGCUUCCCCCAAAGAACUAUUGUUGAACAGGUACACUUCCCCUGUAUCCUAAUAACUUUUCUCUUCCACUACCUCUGCUGGAUGGUGGGCUAAAGGAGAAGUUAAAAGUAGGUUGCAAAAAAUUAUGCCUACAGGUGGCACCCAAUGUGGCUUAGGCAUAAUGGGUAACUCUGCUUCUAAUGUGGUAGAGAAAACUGUAGAUUAUGAGGGGUUAGCAAUGUUACUUAAGGAAAAUAGCAAAAUGGCAGCUUCAGUUGCUGGGUAGUCUCCUACUAUGUUCCUAGCAGGGGUUUUCUAGUUUUGCUUUGUAGUGUUCACAUAUACUAUUCUGAAAGUUUGGAGGGAAAGCUGAAAACUCAGGAGGUUAACUCAAUUCUCUUUUGUUAGAAAACAUUGCAGACUUGGCUAUGCAUGUAGAGUUUGUGACUAGAAGUCGAGGUGCUUAGAAAGCAAAAAGAACCAGGGGGAGAACAACAGAGUUCAAGCUUGGUGAGUAGGACCGGGAAUGGACUGCAUGGAGAAAAGGGGAAAGAAAAUAGGCUGGACAAUAAAACACUGCCCUGCCCUGCUCCACGCACUUUCGAUACCAGGUGCCCAAAGUGCCUCAGUGAGACAAGGAGCCGGGAAGAGCAAGCACAAAGGGUUAAUGUGCAACCGAGUGCACCACCAGAGGAUUUGCGUGGGCCUACACAGCCUUCCCAGUCUUUGUGCAGCAUGUGCCUGCUAAUGAUGGUAUUCUUGCCUAUAAUGAAUUGAUCUAAAGCAUUUUAAAGAAUCUGUUGUUUUGUACGGCUUACAUUUUUCCUUUGUCAAAGAAAUGCUAAAUAACUGGGCAACACAGCAUAGGGAGAUCCCACAAGAUUGGAAGGGAUUGGUGUCAGCUGUUCUAGCAGCUGGUCCAAAAAACUUAGCACAAUGUAAUUUAGCUAGGGCAAUAUAUGUUGCUAAAGACCAGCUG
rnacentral:lncRNA from 1 species